rfam:Colinus virginianus strain Texas jcf7180006227262, whole genome shotgun sequence.
UGUGGUCACGCAAGGCUUACUUGAGAGGACAAUAGCAUGUAUAGGCGCAAUGCGGGGAUAUCGGGAUGUACGCGAGUAGGGUCCUCUCAAG